AUCGUCGGGCUGGUGCUUUCGGAUUCAUGCUUGUGCGAGCAAAGCGUGAUCGAAGCUGCCGUCUCUCUAGAAAUACUGGUGAGGAGGUGUGGUAUGCUGGCUCUGUUGUAAGCGGGCUGGUUGGCUGUGUUGUUAUUUUUUGAUUGGUUGAUGGAGUUGAAGUUUGCAGAUUGACUUAUUUUUUAAGA